rnacentral:rRNA from 1 species
CCUACGGGCGGCAGCAGUGAGGAAUAUUGGUCAAUGGACGAGAGUCUGAACCAGCCAAGUAGCGUGAAGGAUGACUGCCCUAUGGGUUGUAAACUUCUUUUAUAUGGGAAUAAAAUGUUCCACGUGUGGGAUUUUGUAUGUACCAUGUGAAUAAGGAUCGGCUAACUCCGUGCCAGCAGCCGCGGUAAUACGGAGGAUCCGAGCGUUAUCCGGAUUUAUUGGGUUUAAAGGGAGCGUAGGUGGAUUGUUAAGUCAGUUGUGAAAGUUUGCGGCUCAACCGUAAAAUUGCAGUUGAAACUGGCAGUCUUGAGUACAGUAGAGGUGGGCGGAAUUCGUGGUGUAGCGGUGAAAUGCUUAGAUAUCACGAAGAACUCCGAUUGCGAAGGCAGUUCACUGGACUGCAACUGACACUGAGGCUCGAAAGUGUGGGUAUCAAACAGGAUUAGAUACCCUUGUAGUC